rnacentral:lncRNA from 1 species
CAGGUGCUGUCUACAUGCUGAGUUUUACACACUGAAUGUUACUUUCAUCAAUGGAGUCAGUUGUGCUAUGUUUUAGAGGCCUAAUAAGGAAGGCUACACCGCUUAAACUUCACUAAAUAGAACCAUCACCUGGGAACCAACUAUUCAAAUACCAGAAUAUGUGGGGAACAUUUCUCACUUAAACCAUCACAGAUACUCUCUAGCCCUGCAAGCCUGUCAAGCAAGGUCCAGAGUUCUUAUAUACUCCAGAGAAGUACCAUAACACUUGCUGUGCCAUUGAUAAAACAGACUGCACACAGACUGCUGACAGUCAUAGGGCUGGGAAAAUGACAUCUGCUCUAGUUUAUCUUGGUGCCGGGGAGAAAGAAUUUGAGGAUAAAGCAUCUUCUGACAAUUGUGCUACCCUUCAGGAAUAGAAUGAUCUCUCCCAUUGUUGAAUGAUUCUUUCUAAAAGUGUGGGAGCCAUGCAGGAAUUUGGCUUAUUGUGAGACAGCUGAUGUUUUCUACUUCAUCUUCAUAUAAAAUCAUUCUGCCUUUGUAAUAUUA